rnacentral:rRNA from 1 species
CACGUAGGCACCAAGCGUUGUUCGGAUUUACUGGGCGUAAAGGGCGCGUAGGCGGCCACCGCAAGUCGACUGUGAAAUCUCCGGGCUUAACUCGGAAAGGUCAGCCGAUACUGCGGGGCUAGAGUGCAGAAGGGGCAACUGGAAUUCCUGGUGUAGCGGUGGAAUGCGCAGAUAUCGGGAGGAACACCGGUGGCGAAGGCGGGAUCCUGGGCCAGUACUGACACUGAGGAGCGAAAGCCAGGGGAGCAAACGGG